rnacentral:rRNA from 1 species
GGUUAAGCGACUAAGCGUACACGGUGGAUGCCCUGGCAGUCAGAGGCGAUGAAGGACGUGCUAAUCUGCGAUAAGCGUCGGUAAGGUGAUAUGAACCGUUAUAACCGGCGAUUUCCGAAUGGGGAAACCCAGUGUGUUUCGACACACUAUCAUUAACUGAAUCCAUAGGUUAAUGAGGCGAACCGGGGGAACUGAAACAUCUAAGUACCCCGAGGAAAAGAAAUCAACCGAGAUUCCCCCAGUAGCGGCGAGCGAACGGGGAGCAGCCCAGAGCCUGAAUCAGUGUGUGUGUUAGUGGAAGCGUCUGGAAAGGCGCGCGAUACAGGGUGACAGCCCCGUACACAAAAAUGCACAUGCUGUGAGCUCGAUGAGUAGGGCGGGACACGUGGUAUCCUGUCUGAAUAUGGGGGGACCAUCCUCCAAGGCUAAAUACUCCUGACUGACCGAUAGUGAACCAGUACCGUGAGGGAAAGGCGAAAAGAACCCCGGCGAGGGGAGUGAAAAAGAACCUGAAACCGUGUACGUACAAGCAGUGGGAGCACGCUUAGGCGUGUGACUGCGUACCUUUUGUAUAAUGGGUCAGCGACUUAUAUUCUGUAGCAAGGUUAACCGAAUAGGGGAGCCGAAGGGAAACCGAGUCUUAACUGGGCGUUAAGUUGCAGGGUAUAGACCCGAAACCCGGUGAUCUAGCCAUGGGCAGGUUGAAGGUUGGGUAACACUAACUGGAGGACCGAACCGACUAAUGUUGAAAAAUUAGCGGAUGACUUGUGGCUGGGGGUGAAAGGCCAAUCAAACCGGGAGAUAGCUGGUUCUCCCCGAAAGCUAUUUAGGUAGCGCCUCGUGAAUUCAUCUCCGGGGGUAGAGCACUGUUUCGGCAAGGGGGUCAUCCCGACUUACCAACCCGAUGCAAACUGCGAAUACCGGAGAAUGUUAUCACGGGAGACACACGGCGGGUGCUAACGUCCGUCGUGAAGAGGGAAACAACCCAGACCGCCAGCUAAGGUCCCAAAGUCAUGGUUAAGUGGGAAACGAUGUGGGAAGGCCCAGACAGCCAGGAUGUUGGCUUAGAAGCAGCCAUCAUUUAAAGAAAGCGUAAUAGCUCACUGGUCGAGUCGGCCUGCGCGGAAGAUGUAACGGGGCUAAACCAUGCACCGAAGCUGCGGCAGCGACGCUUAUGCGUUGUUGGGUAGGGGAGCGUUCUGUAAGCCUGUGAAGGUGUGCUGUGAGGCAUGCUGGAGGUAUCAGAAGUGCGAAUGCUGACAUAAGUAACGAUAAAGCGGGUGAAAAGCCCGCUCGCCGGAAGACCAAGGGUUCCUGUCCAACGUUAAUCGGGGCAGGGUGAGUCGACCCCUAAGGCGAGGCCGAAAGGCGUAGUCGAUGGGAAACAGGUUAAUAUUCCUGUACUUGGUGUUACUGCGAAGGGGGGACGGAGAAGGCUAUGUUGGCCGGGCGACGGUUGUCCCGGUUUAAGCGUGUAGGCUGGUUUUCCAGGCAAAUCCGGAAAAUCAAGGCUGAGGCGUGAUGACGAGGCACUACGGUGCUGAAGCAACAAAUGCCCUGCUUCCAGGAAAAGCCUCUAAGCAUCAGGUAACAUCAAAUCGUACCCCAAACCGACACAGGUGGUCAGGUAGAGAAUACCAAGGCGCUUGAGAGAACUCGGGUGAAGGAACUAGGCAAAAUGGUGCCGUAACUUCGGGAGAAGGCACGCUGAUAUGUAGGUGAGGUCCCUCGCGGAUGGAGCUGAAAUCAGUCGAAGAUACCAGCUGGCUGCAACUGUUUAUUAAAAACACAGCACUGUGCAAACACGAAAGUGGACGUAUACGGUGUGACGCCUGCCCGGUGCCGGAAGGUUAAUUGAUGGGGUUAGCCGCAAGGCGAAGCUCUUGAUCGAAGCCCCGGUAAACGGCGGCCGUAACUAUAACGGUCCUAAGGUAGCGAAAUUCCUUGUCGGGUAAGUUCCGACCUGCACGAAUGGCGUAAUGAUGGCCAGGCUGUCUCCACCCGAGACUCAGUGAAAUUGAACUCGCUGUGAAGAUGCAGUGUACCCGCGGCAAGACGGAAAGACCCCGUGAACCUUUACUAUAGCUUGACACUGAACAUUGAGCCUUGAUGUGUAGGAUAGGUGGGAGGCUUAGAAGUGUGGACGCCAGUCUGCAUGGAGCCGACCUUGAAAUACCACCCUUUAAUGUUUGAUGUUCUAACGUUGACCCGUAAUCCGGGUUGCGGACAGUGUCUGGUGGGUAGUUUGACUGGGGCGGUCUCCUCCUAAAGAGUAACGGAGGAGCACGAAGGUUGGCUAAUCCUGGUCGGACAUCAGGAGGUUAGUGCAAUGGCAUAAGCCAGCUUGACUGCGAGCGUGACGGCGCGAGCAGGUGCGAAAGCAGGUCAUAGUGAUCCGGUGGUUCUGAAUGGAAGGGCCAUCGCUCAACGGAUAAAAGGUACUCCGGGGAUAACAGGCUGAUACCGCCCAAGAGUUCAUAUCGACGGCGGUGUUUGGCACCUCGAUGUCGGCUCAUCACAUCCUGGGGCUGAAGUAGGUCCCAAGGGUAUGGCUGUUCGCCAUUUAAAGUGGUACGCGAGCUGGGUUUAGAACGUCGUGAGACAGUUCGGUCCCUAUCUGCCGUGGGCGCUGGAGAACUGAGGAGGGCUGCUCCUAGUACGAGAGGACCGGAGUGGACGCAUCACUGGUGUUCGGGUUGUCAUGCCAAUGGCACUGCCCGGUAGCUAAAUGCGGAAGAGAUAAGUGCUGAAAGCAUCUAAGCACGAAACUUGCCCCGAGAUGAGUUCUCCCUGACUCCUUGAGAGUCCUGAAGGAACGUUGAAGACGACGACGUUGAUAGGCCGGGUGUGUAAGCGCAGCGAUGCGUUGAGCUAACCGGUACUAAUGAACCGUGAGGCUUAACCUU